UUUCGGAGCGUAAACUCCUUUUGUUAGGGAAGAACAAUGACGGUACCUAACGAAUAAGCACCGGCUAACUCCGUGCCAGCAGCCGCGGUAAUACGGAGGGUGCAAGCGUUACUCGGAAUCACUGGGCGUAAAGGACGCGUAGGCGGAUUAUCAAGUCUUUUGUGAAAUCUAAUGGCUCAACCAUUAAACUGCUUGAGAAACUGAUAAUCUAGAGUGAGGGAGAGGCAGAUGGAAUUGGUGGUGUAGGGGUAAAAUCCGUAGAGAUCACCAGGAAUACCCAUUGCGAAGGCGAUCUGCUGGAACUUAACUGACGCUAAUGCGUGAAAGCGUGGGGAGCAAACAGGAUUAGAUACCCUGGUAGUCCACGCCCUAAACGAUGUAUACUAGUUGUUGCUGUGCUAGUCAUGGCAGUAAUGCACCUAACGGAUUAAGUAUACCGCCUGGGGAGUACGGUCGCAAGAUUAAAACUCAAAGGAAUAGACGGGGACCCGCACAAGCGGUGGAGCAUGUGGUUUAAUUCGAAGAUACGCGAAGAACCUUACCUGGGCUUGAUAUCCUAAGAACCUUGUAGAGAUACGAGGGUGCUAGCUUGCUAGAACUUAGUGACAGGUGCUGCACGGCUGUCGUCAGCUCGUGUCGUGAGAUGUUCGGUUAAGUCCGGCAACGAGCGCAACCCACGUAUUUAGUUGCUAACAGUUCGGCUGAGCACUCUAAAUAUACUGCCUUCGUAAGGAGGAGGAAGGUGUGGACGACGUCAAGUCAUCAUGGCCCUUAUGCCCAGGGCGACACAC
rnacentral:rRNA from 1 species